AAUAUUGUUACGAACAUGCAUCAAGUAUAAGUACUACUUUUGCUCGUACACGAACAAGUUACAUAAACUGCAAGUGUUAUUCUCUGAAAAAGAAAGAAUAUUAAUACCCGUUCUGCUGCUGCUAUCAAUUCAGCCAUCCUCACCACAUCUGACAUCACGGACAGCACCGGUGGCCCAAUCUUGGACGAGCAGCGUCAGAGGGCAAC
rnacentral:lncRNA from 1 species